UCAGAUUCUAGCAAAUGUUUAUUCAUAUUUCAGAAUAAAUUACAAAAACGAAAUACGAUAUAAAAUGUUUACAAAAGAAAUAUUUAUAAAUUUUUCAAUAGAAAAUAAAACAUUCUUUUCUCUAAACACAUAUUUACAUUAUAAACUUCGAGUAACACGACGUACGAUCUAACCGUGACUCAUCACCGGAAGAAUUGGGAAUGUAAACAACGAAGAGUCCAGGCAUCGAAAGACCGUAUUUCUUCAGCUUGUUUGGAUGAUUUAACCGAUUCUUACUUGUGUAAAAGUGUAAUAACAUGUUUUUUCUGUUAAAUAUGCUCUGUUUGUUUGGAUAAUUCCGCAGGAACCGUCAACAGCGGACUUGAAUAGAUGAUUUGCGAUAUCAUUAAAUGGAUUGUCUGCACUCAUGCGUCAUCGCAGUACGAGGAUUUCAACCUAAAAAGAAUCCCUGCACAUUUGCAGCUGUACAGAAUGCAGUUCAUGCCAUAUGCUGUAAGAGUAAAUGAUGAAAGAUGUUCAAACCAGUGUCACGGAGUCCUAAGUCUGAAAUCAUGGUGUUUUUAUUAAGGAGAUCAGUGUGUUUUCUGUGCAUUGUUGACAUUUGAAGAACUGUUCGGUUUAUGACCAUCUCUUUGACAAUAACUCUGACAUUUGAAUUUCAAUUUGAGCGACGGUUAAGACAGCCAAAUUAUAUGCAUGUAAAACAUUAUACAAGUGUAAUAAAAACAUUGAUAAACUUUAAUUUAAACAAAGUUCAUGUAUAUGUAUCUGUGAUCUUUGCAUUGAAAUUCAUAUAUGCUGUACAUGGAUACUUUUAAUGACUGUCUCAUGGUAAUGGAAUAUUCAAUUGUUAAACAUUGUUGAGGAAUCACCUUGAAUAAAAAUAUUGUGAACUUGAUAAAGUAUUUUUCCUCAUUUAAACACUGA